ensembl:piRNA 21ur-14566 ncRNA
UUACGUUAGCGGUAAUAAAUU